CUUGUAUGGCUUUUUAUUCCUAUGUGAUUAUACAUCCCACUUCAUAUAGGGAUUGAAGCCGUGCAAUACGCCAGGGUCCUACGGCGGAGAACAGCCCCUGUGCCAUGGAGCCAGCCCCGGGGAAGCCACCAAAGCUAUAUUCUGGGGUGCUGGAGUAGGGCCGCUGGCCUCAGCCCAGGCUCUGUCCUGUACUGCAGCCCUCACUGGGGGCAGGUAAGGGGUCCCAAGCUGCUUUGGGGUGAGGCCAGUACAAGCCCACUCCUUGCAUUGCACCACCUUGCAAGGGCAGGCCUGAUUCUGCACCAGAACUAUCCCAGGAGAUGGGUGACAGCAUCUGGGUGCAGACACUGGAAGCAGGUGCUGCCAGCAGGACAUGGGAAGAGGAGAAGGAAGAAAAGGAGGAGAAAGGAGCUUGGGAAUGGCCACAGCAGCAAGUGUUGCCCCAAGCACGAUGCUCUUCAAAGUUUCUCAAGAGGCUCCAGCCGCUCUUUCAAGGUUUGUGUUAAAUCUGUCACAUUAGCGAAAGUAGUGAGAAUUGUGGCUUGUGGAGAUGAAAGGCAGCCCCCUUCCAGCCCUCCAUAAAGGAAGGACCCCCUUAACACCUAGUGAAAUAUUAGCCAUUAAUCAGGCUCCGUGAAAAUAAAACCAUCCACAUCUAUCAUUAUUGGAUCCUUAAUGAAGUGAUAAUGGGAAUGCUGGGGAGCUGUGAUAUUAAUGUCUCCUAAGAGGCAAGAGCAGAGCCAAGGGCGGCAGCCAGGAUUUUUAAUUUACUGCCAAAAGCCUGUGCUGUUAAUAACGCUGUUACUUCUCCUGGCCAUUAGCACUGUUUGGCUGUAAGCAGUGUGCUUAGGAGCGCAAAUCAACCUCAAACACAUCCAGGGUUUACUCCCCUGCUCCCUGCCCAGCAGCAGGGUGUGCUUUUCCCCAGUGGUAGCCCCUGUGUCCCCUGCCAGGGAGCUGUUGGCCAUCUCCACCCAUCUCCCUCCUUCCUGGAGGCUGGCUGGUGUAGAAUAUUGCCCUUCCAUUAAAGAGGGAAGAGACUGAGAGCAUCCAAAGCAAGCAGCUCUUACUGUCCUCACUCUGUCUGUGACUUGCCUCCCCAGGCACAAGCACGUUGGAGCCGGGAUGGCAUGGAGCUGGUUCCAGCGCGGCCUGUACGUUGGAACCUCUCGGUGUGAGUGACCACGGUUGCACUCUGGGUUUCUUCAUUUGCCUGGGUACACUCACAUGAUGCCAAUAUCCCAUCCAGGACAGCGCAGCAAGCCCAAAGCCCUGCUCAGCUGCUGUGACUCACUCAAGUUCCCAAUGGGAAACUCAUCACUGCUGGCAGGCUCCGACAGCCCAGAGGUGCAUUGUUACUUGGCAGGCAGUUGGAAAACAAGACCGUGGAAGCUCACAGCACACAUGCUGCUGGCACGGAGGCUCUCCCAACAGGGAUCAGCAGGGAAGAUGUCCUUGCGGAGGGAAGGAGGCUGGAGAAGGAGGACCCCACUCAGCUGGCUUCACCGCUGCACCUCGGCCAUCCCCAUCCUUAUGCUGCCCAGUGAAGUGUUGAUGCCUUCCUUUACCCCUGGUCCUAAUUAAAUGCAUCUGGAUAUCUGCAGAGGGAGCUCUUAGGAUCUCUCCGUGGCUC